rnacentral:rRNA from 1 species
CAAGUCAAGGGGGCCCAGCAAUGGGCAACCGGCGAACGGGUGCGUAACACGUGAGCAACCUACCGAACUGUGGGGGAUAGCCGGCCUAACGGCCGAGUAAUACCGCAUACGCUUUCUAAAAGGCAUUUUUUGGAAAGGAAACCUACGGGACAGAUCGAGGGGCUCGCGGCCUAUCAGCUAGUUGGCGAGGUAAUGGCUCACCAAGGCUACGACGGGUAGCUGGUCUGAGAGGAUGGCCAGCCACAUUGGGACUGAGAUACGGCCCAGACUCCUACGGGAGGCAGCAGUGGGGAAUCUUGCGCAAUGGCCUAACGGCUGACGCAGCGACGCCGCGUGUGGGAUGAAGCUCCUCGGAGUGUAAACCACUGUUGCCCGGGACGAAUAGCUCGAUUAGUCGAGCCUGACGGUACCGGGUGAGGAAGCACCGGCUAACUCCGUGCCAGCAGCCGCGGUAAUACGGGGGGUGCGAGCGUUGUCCGGAAUCACUGGGCGUAAAGGGCGCGUAGGUGGUUUGAUAAGGGUGUGGUGAAAGCCCGGGGCUCAACCCCGGGUCUGCCGUGCCGACUGUGAAACUCGAGGGCUGUAGAGGCAGACGGAAUUCCGGGUGUAGCGGUGGAAUGCGUAGAGAUCCGGAGGAAGACCGGUGGCGAAGGCGGUCUGCUGGGCAGUUUCUGACACUGAUGCGCGACAGCGUGGGGAGCAAACAGGAUUAGAUACCCUGGUAGUCCACGCCUUAAACUAUGGGUACUAGGUGCCUGGGGGAGCGACCC